rnacentral:lncRNA from 1 species
UGCCAGCCAUGUGUGAGGCAGCAUUCCCCAGUGUCAGGUUUCUUGGGACAGUUUCUAGUAUCAGAUAGGGCCCAACCUUAGACUGGGUGAUUGAUAGAUACUCACAGGAGUGUCAGUUGAUAAUUAUAAAAAAAAAAAAAAAGAGUCCAGUGGGUGUGAUGAAGACGGGUUAACAAUCUAUUUUCUAAUAUGUAAUAAAAAUAUUUAAAAACGUAUCUCAACUUGCAUCAAUCUUAUCUAUGUAUGGCUUAUUCUAUGUGCAAUCGGCGCAUGACAGAAGUGGCUACCAAAGAUGGGAAGUGUCUGUCUGGGAGAGAAAUGAUGUGAGGGUGCCCAGACAGCGGUCAUAGGAAAGUGGGGGCUAGUGGGGAAACCAAGGCCAGAAGAGAGUGAGAUUCAGCUCAUCUAGACUGACUGGGGCUAUUCUAAGGCUCUCCUCACAAUCCUGAUGAGAAAGGUUUUUGUGUUUCUGACUAGAAUAACUCAAUCUCAGUGUGACUACUGAUCCGCCGCCACGUGGCUUCCCGGACACACUGCUGCAGCGCCAACAGUGGAGAGGAGCUCUCCAUCACAACCAGACAGCAGAAGCACAGCACAGUGAAGCACACCUGCCCACAUGAUGCACAAUACAGGCUUUCUGCCCCAACUAAAGGAAUUUUAGGCUUCUGCAACAAGUGGAGGAGGCAUUUUGAAGAUGGGACACAAAGAAGUCUUCUUUCUCCAGAUCCAGAAGUCAGGCCUUGUAAGAAUUCAAGCCAAAAAAAGUUCAUCCAUGGGAAAAACGGUUCUUCUAUCAUCCAGCACGUAUUUGUGCCAACAGAGCUGAGGGACUUGAGUAAUUCAAGAGGCUAGGGGUUGGGGGGCAGAUGUGUCCAGUGGCUCCCACAGCCCCGCCGUCCUGAAAGUCACGCCAGUUAAUGUGCCUCGGGGUGGAUCAGCCCUCCCGACAGAUGACUACUAGGAAAUUAAUCCCCAGUUAAUAAUGUGCUUUGGACCAAGUAAGUCAAGAUUAUUUUUCCUACAAUUAUACAAAGAUAUGCUUUUCCAGAAGGGAACUUCUGGAAAAAGAACAAAUAACACUAUGCUUAAAAUAUUAUUCACAUAUUUAGAGAAGAAAGAACUUAAAAUAGCAGAAGACCUGAAUACCAUGAUCCACGGUGCCCACCCCUGGGAGCAUGUCUUUGUGUGAGACAAGACCUAGCACAGCAGGGCUGGCUUUCUAAGGGUACGGUGAGGCACCACUGAACUCAUCAAGGAACUAUGCCUAGUCUUGCCCCUCUGGUUUAUGUCACCAGUAUCAAAGAGAGAGGACCUCUGGAUGCCUGAAUGAGGCAAGAACUAAUGUGAAGGCCUCAGCUGCCUUAAGAGAAUUAUGCCCUGAUCUGGCACAGUGACGAAUGUCUGUGGUUAUACUGCUCGUGCCGCUGGUGUGCUGCUGGUGAGGUGGUGGGGUGUGGGUGUCUUUUAAGGAAAGCGCUACUAUUUUAGCUCUCUUCCACUCCAGCUCUACAAAUCAGUGCAAGUCUAGUUCAGGCAGGGUCAAACCAUUUUGUUCACCUACUUUCCUGCCAGUGAUUUCAACCUUGACCUUCAAAAAUGCUCUGCAAGAUUAAAAGUGAUUUAAGAUUGUUUUCUUUCAGUGCAAACUGCCAGUUGAUACAACCUCUUCAGUUUCUGCCUGCCAGUAUAAGAUAGGGAAUUGUUGAUACUAUUUAGUGUAAAUAAAAUAAUUUCUUAAACAUUGAAAUACCAGUAACAGCUGGGGGAGGACUCACCGUUAGUCAAUUACACUUAUGAAACUUUCAAAUAGAAAUUUUAUUUUCAGUGGAUUCUGUUUUUCUUUCUUAACUGCAAAAUCAGCAAGUCAUUGGUUAAAAAGUAUACUCUCCCCGCUUGAAGUCAAACAAGUAUUCACCCUAAGAGGCAAAGUCCAGUAUCUACAGUAAAAACUGUAUUUUGAGACUCUAAAGUGAAGAGCUUAAGAGAAAAGAUCUAUUGACAAUCAUUAAUUACCUUUGCUCUCAAAUGAUUCAGACCUGACCUUUGGUAUUCCGCAAGGGCCUGAACUUCCAUUCCAUUCCCAGUGCUGGAUGUGGAGAAUGGGUGAUCCCAAGCAACAAUCAUUUGCCUUUCUGUCAAAAGCUGUCUCGGUUUAAAUGUACUGUAUUUUCUUUGCCUCUUCUUCUCAUCGGAACAUGUUCUAGUCUACUCGCCAGGUGCUACUUCUGGCAGUCAGAAAUAGUGCCACUUUUCAACUUCAAGUUUCUUACCAACCUUUUUUGCAUUCAUGCAGCAAGAGUUCAUGAAAUAGCUGCAAAGUGCUGGACACUGUUAGGUUGUGGGAAUUGCAAGAGAAACAGAGUUUCUGCCUUCUAGAUGCUCACGUCUGGGGGUGGGGCAGGUACAGCAGGGGUGAUCAAUCCACAAAAAUUUACUUUUAAAAAUGUGUUAUGGGCUGACUUGUAUCACCUCAAAAUUCAUAUGGGGAAGUCCUAACCACCAAUACCUCAGAAUGUGAUUGUAUUUGGAAACAGGAUCUUUGCAGAGGCAAUUAAGUUAAAAUAAGGACAUCAUCAGGGUGGGCCCUAAUCUCAAGUGACCCAUGUCCUUCUAAGAAGAGAUUAGGACACAGAUACACAGAGGAAAGACCAUAUGAAGACACAGGGAGAAGACAGCCAUCUACAAGCCCAGAAGGGAGG